GAGCCUGAGAAACGGCUACCACAUCCAAGGAUGGCAGCAGGCGCGCAAAUUACCCAAUCCCGACACGGGGAGGUAGUGACAAUAAAUAACAAUACGGGGUUCUUUAGGAUCUCGUAAUUGGAAUGAGUACAAUUUAAAUCUCUUAACGAGGAACAAUUGGAGGGCAAGUCUGGUGCCAGCAGCCGCGGUAAUUCCAGCUCCAAUAGCGUAUAUUAAAGUUGUUCCAGUUAAAAAGCUCGUAGUUGAAUCUCGGGAUCAAUUUAUUGGUCGUGCUAUUGUACGUACUGGUAUUAUUGAUUUCUACCUUCUGACGAACCAUGAUGUCAUUAAUUUGGUGUCAUGGGGAAUCAGGACUGUUACUUUGAAAAAAUUAGAGUGUUUAAAGCAGGCUCACGCUUGAAUACAUUAGCAUGGAAUAACGAAAUAGGACGUUUGAUUCUAUUUUGUUGGUUUCUAGGAUCGACGUAAUGAUUAAUAGGGAUAGUUGGGGGCAUUAGUAUUCAAUUGUCAGNGGUGAAAUUCUUGGAUUUAUUGAAGACUAACUACUGCGAAAGCAUUUGCCAAGGAUGUUUUCAUUAAUCAAGAACGAAAGUUAGGGGAUCGAAG
rnacentral:rRNA from 1 species